GAGCCCACGGGGAGCCGCCGACCCGCCCCGGCUCGGGGCUGAGGGGAAAGGUUCGGCAGCGUGUCCCGUUUGGCCGGGCAGAGCGGCGGUGUAGGACACCCACACUCUGCUGACUUCGCCCCUGCUGAGCUCAGAGACACCUUGGAAACUCUCUGGUUAAGUGAGGUAAGACCUUGCCAGCAUUACCACCCUGCACUCACAGCAGGAACAUGGCAGCAAGGUCACAAAAAACAUCCCUUGUGCCACCCCAGCCCGCCAGGAGCACCACCAGAGUCCUGCAACUCAAAGAGAGGGAAGAAGGACAUCAGGCAGCAGCAUUGCCUGGGGUUUGUGGAGACUGAAGAGAGCAAAUUUCUGAGACAGUGUCACGGCACAGCAGCUGUUACCCUAAGUUUUAUGGCUACAGGCUACAAAGGACCUGUCCAAAAACAAGCCUGAUGAAGCCAAACAGGAGGACUCGGUGUCCCUUGUCCUCUGUGUUGCGUAAAAGUGAUGUUGGCCAGGCCAGCUAAACACACAAACUGGGGAAAUGUGAGUAUGACAUGAGUGAAUUGAUCUGUCCUGGUCCUGACACAACUGCAUUUGAUGUCAGAAGGUGAAAAGUGAGUGCUGGGAAAUAUUUGGGGACGGGGUCAGUGAGUCUGAACAUGCUCUGGUGUUCCCUCCCUCAGCCUGCUUUUUGCCAGGCAGGUUUAUAAUUAUAUAAAUCAAUGUAUUAUUAUUAUCAUUAUAUUAAUAUAAUAUUUACAUUAAUAUAAAUAUAGAGAUAAAUUAGGGACAGAUUAAUGCAACCAACACCAAUUGUUCUACAAGAUCCAUUCAUGGAGUAGCUGGUUUUGGGCUCACUCAAUAAAAACCAAGAUAAUUUAGGCCUUA